UUCCUCCUGAAGCUGUGAGCUCCGUCAAAAACGACAACCCACUCUGAUAGAGGAGGAUCGCUCUUCGAUGGAGGGUAUAUGAGUAGCUGCACUCCCCUGUUAGAACCUCCAAACAGGCUCUCAAGGGCUCUGUAAUUUCACGUCCCACC
ensembl:misc_RNA 7SK 7SK RNA